UUACUGAUGAAACACGCAUGAGAAUCGCAGACGAUUUUUUUGCACAUCCCUAUAGGAGAGUGAGUGAGUGAGUUGGAGGGUGAGUGAGUGAGUGAGUGAGUGAGUGAGUGAGUGAGUGAGUGAGUGAGUGAGAAAGCUUUUGCAAGUGAUGGCUCUUAAAAGAGCCGUUGGUUUAAAUGUUGUGGAGCGUGUAGAUGGAGGAGUAUGAGAUGUAUGUGAAGAAAC